rnacentral:lncRNA from 1 species
CUGCUGACACAUGUAAGCACACAGGAGCAUGCCUGAGUUAGUUAGGGGCAAGAGAAGAGUAAAAGGACAUCAGAUUUAGAUCAUUAUUUCUUAGCUCUUAAGGCUACUUUUUAAUGAGGGGUGUGAUUUGUGUUUGAAAAUUACUGUGAUUUAGUUUGCAUCUACAAAAACGGCUGAAGAAACAGAUUAAGGGCUGAUCUAACCUCCAAGCUCUGAUCCAUGGCACUCGCUGGGGAAGCUGGCCAGCAGCCUCUCACCCAGCAGUUCCCCAUCCCACAGAGAUCUGAUCCAAAUCGCAACCCAAAGCGGUCCGUUCCAAACAAGAAAGAAGGGAAACGGCAGCCCGAGGGAAGAGCUGACAGCGUGACACACUGUGCGGCGGCGCCAGGCGAUGCUUACCCGUCAGGAGUCAUCGGGGUGACUGUGGCAGCGACCAGACCCUCCAGCUUCUUUCUGGGUGUCAUCGAGCUGAUCGCGGGAAAAAUAAAGAAAUAGAAAAAUAAAGAAAAAAAGAUUAACAGUCCCCCAUCUUUAAGCUUUGUCUCCACUCGCUCCAGAUAACUGCAAGUACCAAG